AUUGAACGCUGGCGGCAGGCUUAACACAUGCAAGUCGAGCGAGCGGCGGACGGGUGAGUAAUGUCUGGGAAACUGCCUGAUGGAGGGGGAUAACUACUGGAAACGGUAGCUAAUACCGCAUACCAUCAGAUGUGCCCAGAUGGGAUUAGCUGGUAGGUGGGGUAAUGGCUCACCUAGGCGACGAUCCCUAGCUGGUCUGAGAGGAUGACACUCCUCACUGGAACUGAGACACGGUCCCGACUCCUUCAAUACCACCACUUUAUUAAUAUUGCACAGUGCGCGCAAGCCUGAUACAGCCAUGCCGCGUGUGUGAAGAAUUCCUUCGGGUUUUAAAGCACUUUCAGCGAGGAGGCGUUACUCGCAGAAGAAGCACCGGCUAACUCCGUGCCAGCCGCCGGGGUAAUUC
rnacentral:rRNA from 1 species